ACUACUUCUUCUUGUGCUCCGUCAGUCGCGCAGUUGCUUACCGUUCUGAUGUCAUACCAACUAGCCCCCCAACGCACUUUACUUGAAUAUUGUGCAAUUUCUCUCC
rnacentral:lncRNA from 1 species